rnacentral:rRNA from 1 species
GACGAACGCUGGCGGCGUGCUUAACACAUGCAAGUCGAACGGAAAGGCCCUGCUUCUGUUGGGUGCUCGAGUGGCGAACGGGUGAGUAACACGUGAGUAACCUGCCCUUGACUUUGGGAUAACUUCAGGAAACUGGGGCUAAUACCGGAUAGGAGCUCCUGCUGCAUGGUGGGGGUUGGAAAGUUUCGGCGGUUGGGGAUGGACUCGCGGCUUAUCAGCUUGUUGGUGGGGUAGUGGCUUACCAAGGCUUUGACGGGUAGCCGGCCUGAGAGGGUGACCGGCCACAUUGGGACUGAGAUACGGACCAGACUCCUACGGGAGGCAGCAGUGGGGAAUAUUGCACAAUGGGCGGAAGCCUGAUGCAGCAACGCCGCGUGCGGGAUGACGGCCUUCGGGUUGUAAACCGCUUUCGCCUGUGACGAAGCGUGAGUGACGGUAAUGGGUAAAGAAGCACCGGCUAACUACGUG